GACGAACGCUGGCGGCGUGCCUAAUACAUGCAAGUCGAACGAAGCUUUUUUAACUGGUGCUUGCACCGACUUAAACAACUGAGUGGCGAACGGGUGAGUAACACGUGGGUAACCUGCCCCAAAGCGGGGGAUAACAUUUGGAAACAGAUGCUAAUACCGCAUAACCACAGAAACCACAUGGUUUCUGUGUCAAAGAUGGUUUCGGCUAUCACUUUGGGAUGGACCCGCGGCGUAUUAGCUAGUUAGUAGGGUAAUGGCUUACCAAGGCAAUGAUACGUAGCCGAACUGAGAGGUUGAUCGGCCACAUUGGGACUGAGACACGGCCCAAACUCCUACGGGAGGCAGCAGUAGGGAAUCUUCCACAAUGGACGAAAGUCUGGUGGAGCAACGCCGCGUGAGUGAAGAAGGUUUUCGGAUCGUAAAACUCUGUUGUCAGAGAAGAACGUGUGCGAGAGUAACUGUUCGUGCAGUGACGGUAUCUGGCCAGAAAGCCACGGCUAACUACGUGCCAGCAGCCGCAGUAA
rnacentral:rRNA from 1 species